rnacentral:rRNA from 1 species
AUGAACAAGCGGGCUAAGACGGCACAGCCGGAGGCGCAGACCACCAUCGUGGACUCCUCUAUCUUCCAGUUCAGAGUAGACUACCAGCAAAUCAAGGAGCUUCCUCUCGGCAAGUCCGUCUACUCUGACAUCGUCUCCGCCGGGGGACACCUUUGGAGGAUUGAGUGCUUCCCGCAUGGGGAGAGCGAGGCCAACAAGGGCGAGUAUGUUUCUAUCUUCCUCGACCAUUUGAGCAAAUCCAGAUGCGUCAGGGCCAUCUUGGAGGUCGACAUACUGGGUAGGGAUGGCAAACCAUCUAUGUCAGGCAUGCAAAGGACAUUUGAAACCUUUGGGAUCAAGGGAGACAAAGGCCUCGCCGAUUCUUGGGGGUGGGAUCGGUUCAUCAAGGGAACUAUUUUGGAGGAAGAUUACUUAAUAGGGAGACACGUCACGUUUCUAUGUGCCGUCAUGGUCAUCGAUGACAGUCCUAUUCCCCUGCCGCCUUCAGACAUUGGAACUCAUCUUGGCUGCCUGCUAGAUAACAAUGACGGGACAGAUGUGUCAUUCAUCGUCAAUGAUGAGACAUUCCAUGCUCACCGUGCGGUGCUUGCUGCCCGCUCACCGGUCUUUAGAGCAGAGCUCUUCGGUUCCAUGUCUGAGGCUACAAUGUCAUCCAUCACACUGCACGACAUCACACCUGCAACAUUUAAAGUUAUGCUUCGGUUCAUUUACACGGAUGAAUUGCCUGAGAAGACAGGCUUGAGGACUCCUCCGCUGAGAUGUUUCAGGAUCUACGCGCUGCGGCCGAUUGGUAUGCAUUGGAUCGUCUGA